rnacentral:rRNA from 1 species
UACGUAGGGUGCAAGCGUUGUCCGGAAUUAUUGGGCGUAAAGAGCGUGUAGGCGGCCCGAUUAGUCCGCUGUGAAAGUCCAGGGCUCAACCCUGGAAUGCCGGUGGAUACUGUCGGGCUAGAGUCCGGAAGGGGCGAGUGGAAUUCCUGGUGUAGCGGUGAAAUGCGCAGAUAUCUGGAGGAACACCGGUGGCGAAGGCGGCAUCCUGGACCGGCAUUGACGCUGAGGCGCGAAAGCCAGGGGAGCAAACGGG